CCUGGAGAAGGGGAACAAGAGGGACAAAGGACAAACACAAACAAACAUUUGUGUUUGUCCUUUGUCCCUCUUGUUCCCCUUCUCCAGGGAUU
rnacentral:pre_miRNA from 1 species